CAGAGGUGGGUUUCAGCAGGUUCUGACCAGUUCUGGAGAACCGGUAGGGGAAAUUUUGAGUAGUUUGGAGAACCGGUAGUAAAAAUUCUGACUGGCCCCGCCUCCAUCUAUUCUCUGCCUCCUGAGUCCCAGCUAAUCAGGAGGAAAUGGGGAUUUUGCAGUAAUCUUCCUCUGGAUUGGGGAGGGAAUGGAGAUUUUAUAGCAUCCUCCCCUGGAGUGGGGAGGGAAUGGAGAUUUUACAGUAUCCUUCCCCUGGAUUUAUUUAUUUUAUUUUAUUUAUUUUAUUUGUCAUAACAGCAUACAUAAGCAUAAGCAUGAAGCAACAGUAGGACAGGAACGGUAGGCACGUUUGUGCUCUUAUGCACGCCCCUUACAGACCUCUUAGGAAUGGGGUGAGGUCAAUAGUAGACAGUUUUUGGUUGAAGCUUUGGGGACUUUGAGAAGAGACCACAGAGUCAGGUAGUGCAUUCCAGGCGUUAACACCUCUGUUACUGAAGUCAUAUUUUCUGCAAUCAAGAUUGGAGCGGUUUACGUUAAGUUUAAAUCUAUUGUUUGCUCUUGUAUUGUUGUGAUUUGAAGCUGAAGUAGUCUUCAACAGGAAGGACAUUGCAGUAGAUGAUUCUGUGAGUUAAACACAGGUCCUGUCGGAGGCGGCAGAGUUCUAAGUUUUCUAAACCCAGGAUUUCAAGUCUGGUGGCAUAAGGUAUUUAGGAAAGAAGCCCUACUGAGUCAAAAGCACUUCCAUCCAAAUAAAUCUAUUUCGAAAUUCAGCGGUGCAAAGCAAUUCUUGUCGGGGGAAUCAGAGGAAGGGAAUUUGGCAGCGGCCUCAGUUGGCAUCAGAUGCCAGGAAACAAGGGAACGCCCCGGGAACACCUUCCAUUCAGCGCAACACUAAUAAAGCCUUUGGACCUUUGGGAUGCUGGGGAGAUAAAUCACAGGUGCUUUGGAGAAUAGCUUGACUCCCUCUUCUUUGUGGCAACCCCUGAAUAGAAGAGAAGAGAAGAGAAGAGAAGAGAAGAGAAGAGAAGAGAAGAGAAGAGAAGAGAAGAGAAGAGAAGAGAAGAGAAUUUAUUGGCCAAGUGUGAUUGGACACACACAAGGAAUUUGUCUUGGUGCAUAUGCUCUCAGUGUACAUAAAAGAAAAGAUACCUCCAUCAAGAUACAUCAAGGUACUGGAAUCAAGGUACUGGAGAUAUUGGAACACUGCUAUCAUGUCUCCCCUAGUCCUUCUUUUCAUUAAACUAGACAUACCCAGUUCCUGCAACUGUUCUUCAUAUGUUUUAGCCUCCAGUCCCCUAAUCAUCUUUGCUGCUCCUCUCUGCACUCUUUCUAGAGUCUCCACAUCUUUUUUAC